UAGGUACUCCCUCCGUCCGAAAAUACUUGUCAUCAAAAUGAAUAAAAAAGGAUGUAUCUAGAACUAAAAUACCUCUAGAUACAUCUCUUUUUGUUCAUUUUGAUGACAAGUAUUUCCAGACGGAGGGAGUAUUUC
rnacentral:pre_miRNA from 1 species